UACGGGGGGGGGCAAGCGUUGUUCGGAAUUACUGGGCGUAAAGGCGCGUAGGCGGCCUGUUAAGUCGAACGUGAAAUCCCCGGGCUCAACCCGGGAACUGCGUCCGAUACUGGCAGGCUUGAAUCCGGGAGAGGGAUGCGGAAUUCCAGGUGUAGCGGUGAAAUGCGUAGAUAUCUGGAGGAACACCGGUGGCGAAGGCGGCAUCCUGGACCGAUAUUGACGCUGAGGCGCGAAAGCCAGGGGAGCAAACGGG
rnacentral:rRNA from 1 species